ACUCCUACGGAAGUCAGCAGUGGGGAAUUUUGCGCAAUGGACGAAAGUCUGACGCAGCAACGCCGCGUGAGUGAUGAAGGCCUUCGGGUUGUAAAGCUCUGUCAGGUGGAACGAAAAAGUAGCAAUACUCUGACGGUACCACCAGAGGAAGCACCGGCUAACUCCGUGCCAGCAGCCGCGGUAAU
rnacentral:rRNA from 1 species